UGUUUGCUACCCUGAAGAUACCCUACGUCCCUGGUGAAUGUAAACAAAUUUCAAUUUGAAAAGUGCUGAGACCGUUUUCCCAUCUUUUAAUCUAGUUUUGAUGCGAAACGUCACCUUUUAGAUCGAAAUUUCAUCUGGUCAAAGGUUGACAUCGGGUAGGCAACAUGGAUUCCUUCAAGGUUGUCUACCUCCAGGUGUGCCGGGAGAAUGGGAUCACCCCGCAGCAGAGUGUCCUAGAUCAGCUGAUGGAUGCGGACCCCAAGUCCUCUCUCCAUAGGAGUGGGUCCAGAAGUAGGUCCAGGUCCAGGUCUUCCCUUACCACCCUUGACCUGUCCACGACCUCACUGACCGUGCAGACAUGCUCGGUGCUAGGAAGGGCUCUGGCAACCAAUCAUAUCAUCCAGGAGCUCUUGUUGUCGGAUUGCAUGAUUGGAGAUGAAGGUGCCAAACACCUGCUCCAUGGGUUAUGUUCAAAUACCUCUAUCAGAGCCUUGGACCUCAAAGGGAACAACAUGAGAGGGGCUAGUGCUGAGGCCAUGGGAAAACUAUUCAGACAGAACCAUUCAAUCAAAAGGAUCUGUCUGGAAUGGAACGCUUUAGGCAUAGAGGGCGCAAGAUUCACCAGCCUGGCUGAAGGGGUGUCAGCAAACAGCAGUCUGGAAGUCCUAGACCUGAGGAACAAUCAGAUCGGCCAUGAUGGAGCCAGCCAGCUCGCUACGGCCAUCACCAGGAACAGCUCAGUACAGAAUAUAGAUCUUAGAUGGAAUAAUGUUGGUAUCGUUGGUGGGAGAUCUCUAUUGGCGGGCCUACAGCAUAACCAGACCGUAACUGAGAUGGAUCUAGCAGGCAACGAUAUACCACAGGACAUUCUGAAGGCUAUUGGACUGCUACUGGAGAGGAAUAAAGAGCGAGCCAGCCUUUCGGCCACACACCAGACAAGGCAGGAUAUCAUGACCAGAGAAAUCAAGCAACUUAAGAAUGAGAAACAUCAGCAGGGCAGGGAUCUGUUGAGGAGAAUUGAUCAGCAGAACGAUCAAAACGGGAGAAGCAAACGCGACACAGGCAAGAAGAUCCGCCUUCUGGAAGAGGCGUUGUCCGAGAGGAAGUCGGCCUUCAAUGCAGUUGCUGCAAAAUUAUCCAAAACAGAAGCCGAGCUGUCCUUGGUGUCCCACAGAUCACACGACCUUGACACUGUCCUUGAGGACACAAGACAAGAGAUGACCUCUACUAUGACCUCACACCAGAGAGAUAUGCAGGCACUGAGAGAGGAGAAAGUGGCUUGUGAGACGAAGCUGAUCACAGAGCUAUCAUCGGUCAAGGAAAGAUACAGAGAGUACGAGGCGAAGAACGAAGAGCUGGAAAGGAAAGUACAGCUCCAGCAGGAACAGGUCUAUGAGCUGAAGGAAGAACUGAUGGCAGCUCAGGCCGAGGUGAAGAUGCAAGCUACUAGGACUGAAGAGCUGCUGCAGGUAGAGCGCAUCAAGCACAGGGACGACGUCGGCGGCAUCGACCGGCGACAUCGCUCCGAGGUCCAGCACCACCGUCAAGGGUUCGAGGAGAGCGAGCGGGCGUACAAGGACCGCAUCGAUCGCCUGGAGGACCACAGGAGGGGCAUCGAGGAGGAGCUCAGCAGGGUCAAGGCCCAGCAGCUCACCGAUAGACUCUCCCUGGAGGAACAGAUCCUUGCCACCAAGAAACAAGUCAGGGAUGAAGAGCAUCAAAGAAGCAAGCUUUUGGAAGACAAGAUCAGAGUUCUCCAGAAUGCAAAAGAUGAUAUCCAGCAGCAUGCGAGCAACCAAAGCCAGAUAGUCGCUGAGGUACAGGCUCGAAACAGCAACCUGACACUGGAAGUAGAGUCCCUCAAGAGACAUCUUCAGGAGAUGACACAGGAGCUAGCAGGGAAGAACAACGAGAAGAUGUCAGCCGUGCAUCACGCAGAGCUCCAGCAUCAGAAGGAGUCUCAGAGAAUGGAGACGAAGCUAGCCCACUUACAAGAGUUCAAGGAGCAAGCCGCAGAUUUGGAAGCAAAACUCUUGGAUCAAACCAGGAGACACAGGGUUGAGUUGGCCAGCAAGCAGGAGGAGGUCGACUCCUUGCAAGAGCACCUGAGAGUCAGAGACAUGGACAUAGCACGCUACCAGGAGGAGGAGAACCACAGAGCCAGCGCGCUCCAGUCUGCUCUCUCGAGCUAUCUCAAUGCACCCCGCUCUCCAGCGGUGACACCCAGGAGAUAGCACAGAUGGGACUACAGUGGAUUAUGUCAGUAAGAUCCUUUAAUCAUGAAGUUUGAAAUGUUCUUACAGCUAGGAAACUUCAUGUAAACAUAAUAUUGUAAGAGUCACAGACACGAGUAGUACGUAGAGUUUCCCGUUGUGACUGCUAAUUCCCCCGACCCCAUUUCCAGAAAUACUACCUGGAGAUAGCACAGUUGGUACUUCAGGGAGGUAAAGUAUUUCUGUAAGAUCCUGUAUUUAUAAAGCAGCUUAUUUCUUUCUAUUGGGAAAAGUUAGAUUUAAUUUUAAUUUUAGAGUUAGAAAUUUCUAGGUGUUAUGAGAUAGAUAUGAAGAGUUUGCUGUCGGGCUACACCCCCCCCCCCCAACCCCUUUUCAUGAAUAUUCACGUUUAUAGAAUUUAUCCUGGAAGUUCUGAUGUCAUGCUCGAUCCAUGAACUGUUUCUCCUUCACUGUUUCGUGGAUAAACUCCAUGAACAAACAGAGACAUGAAUUUUCACGUUUAAUAGAAUUUAUCCUGGAAUUUUUGGUGUCUUGCUCUAUCCAUGAACUGUUUCUCCUUCACUGUUUCGUGGAUAAACUCCAUGAACAAACAUAGACAUGAAUAUUCACGUUUAAUAGAAUUUAUCCUGGAAUUUCUGAUGUCUUGCUCUAUCCAUGAACUGUUUUUUCUUCACUGUCUCGUUGAUAAACUCCAUGGACCGGAACACUGCAUUCUUCUAUUAAGAAAUAUGCAAGAUAUUUUCUACAUUAAAGAUGCAUGUUUGUUUUUUUGUUGAUAGAUCCUAUUUUAUUAAAGUUCUAUUAAUUUAUCAAUUUAUAAUUAUUCUUGUUCAAAGAAGAUAUUCAUUGAUUUUAGAUACUGAUUUUAUUAUUUUUAAAGUUGCCCGCAUGCUUAGACCAUGUUUUGCAAUGUGCUCAAUAUUGCCUUUUGGUGUAUUGUCAUGAAGUAACGUCAGCAUAGGAAAGUUUUUUUGGUUUCAACAAAGAACGUUUUGCGGUCACAAUGUUUCCUGCAACACUAAACAAUCGUUCCUCAAUGGGUCUAGACCCUCCUUCCCCAUCCCCACCAUAACGUUUUUUGUUCAUAAGUGAGUUGCCAAUUUUGUUUGGUCCACAGUCUUGAAUACGAUGAUGUUUGGAUUUCUUAGUGAAAAUGCAUGUUUCAUCCCUUUCUCAUACCCGGUGCAUCUCUUCCUGACAUGCUUUAUGAACACACAAAAGGACAAGUGAGAUACCUACCGGGGACAAAACCCUCAACAAUUUCUUGGGGAAGCACCAGCAAGAAGUAUUGCCACUGACAACAUGAGGUUACCAGCAGGAAGUCAGCCAUGAAAGGCUGGCUAUGCCACUGACGGGUAUAACCACAGAUCGGCUUGUGCACGCAUAGUUGUUUUAUGGCAACCAAACUCCCUUUCAUCUGGCUGACCUCACCAUUGCAAAGCGGGCAAAUUUCAAACAGCUUUCAAAUCCUGUGUAUUUCGUAUUCCAUACCACAGGUUUUUCGUAAUGCUUCUGAUAAAUGGCAUCUUUUUGGCUGCGUCAAUGUCGUACUGUCGUCUAAACCCAGAAAAAACAUUUUUUACAUAAAAUUUUAUCUCAAAUUGUUGCAGUAGUUGAGGUUGCUGAGGAGCUUUCUUCUGUGAGGACUGCUUCCUGGAGUCAGCCACUCCUCUCUGUCCUCGAUAGGCCCAUGCUCACACUUGGCGUCUCAUCCCAUACCUGACACCCAGGAGUGUUUGUUUGUGACGUGAUGUGUCAGACCACGCCACUUGUUCUGUGUGAAGAAAGGUUGAUGUUAAAACACAUCUAUACAGGAUAAAACUGCCUGAGACACCUUAUCAUUUCUCUAAACUUGUUGGGUCCUGUGUUGGUGCGCCACAUAAAUUCGUCCAAACAUGAGGGGAAAAGCGCUCUUGAUGUUCCGAACUGUCGUCCCAGCUCCCUCUUUGCAAGGUUCCACUUGCCUUCGAUCGUGUUGGUAUGGAGCCACUCGUGGAUAGGAUCGACGAAAUGUUCUUCAUGAAUCACGACGUCAUGGAGGUCGACCCCGCCGUUCAGUUGGUCCAGCUGCUAGUAGGCUCUCCAACCAUCGCUUAUGAUCUGGGUGCCUUGUAGUAGCCACCUCGAUAUUAUCGGUUCUAGUGUAGGGCCUGAACAGUUAGGCACCAUUUCUAGCUGACACCUUCCUGUUGCCCUUUCCACUGCGCCAAAGACCCAGAAGCUCUCGCAGUAGGCGCCCCUAUGAUAUUUCUUAUGGAAAUAUUUACUUUCGUCAAUCUCGACCACGGUCGCUUGCCCAUCCACGUCGAAUCCUCCCAGCUGAUAGAAAUUAGCUAUAAGGUCCUGCCCACAGACUUCACGCAACAUGUUUGCCCAGUUCACUGACGUUAAUCGGUCCUCGAGCUCCUUUUUGUUUUGAUUAAAAGAUUUGAGAUUGGCUGCUGUUGCUCCAGAAUCCUUUUCAGCAUGUUAUGGGUGGAGCCCCAUCUCGUUUCAACGUCUUGAAUUAGUUUAUGUUCUGGAAACUUGAGGAUUCUUUGAUGGUUAGCUAACCUGUACUCUGCUUUUGCUGAUUGAUGAACAAACUCAACUAGUUUUGAACACCUAGCAAGCAUCGAAUGGAUGCCCAGACAUUUCAAUCUGGCUUUAACGACAAGGGAUAUUUGCUGCAGUUUCCUGGAUGAUACUUGGGUCAGCUCCCCGUAGAGCUCUAAAGGGAUAUUUGGUAGGUCCAAUCCUUAGUGCACUUUCUUUGAUGGGUUAAAAUUACACUUGAAAGUGAAUCUCUUUGAUGCAUACAUCAGGAUAUGAUUAUUAAUCGACUCUAGCAUGCUGGUAUGCCUGUAAAAAUAAACAAUUGUAUGAAAAGAGGAAUUGUCAUAAAAUCAACAUCUGGCUUACAAGUAAACAACAAUAUCAACUACAUUCAAACAUACCUACAAACUGUGUUUUAUUUAUCAGUGUGUUGAUCAAGAUUCUUAUUAUCAUAUGUACUGAUAUCAGAUUGGAUCAAAAUAUGAUUGAUGUCUGCACUUUAGAUGCAGCAAAGUCUGUCAAACUGUUGCUUUAUUUGAUUUAUUGCCAAAACAAGACAAUACAAAAGAAAUCUCACUCGAUACUGGAUCAUGGCUGAAGCCAAAUCUACAAAAUCACUGCAGUGCACUUAAUCCAUUCACAGCAAAAGAACACAGAAUAUAAGAGAAAAUUUGGACGAAUUGGUUAGCUAUACAACCAAUACAAGCGAUCUAUCAUGACCCCGCUGAAAACGCAAAUUUCAUUACUUUUCAACACUUUUCAUUACCUCUGAACAGCAAGAGUUAUCACUUUUCCUUUUAUAAAUUGUCCUUUUGAUGUACGUUGGCACUCUGGUUAGUCCACCUGUAUCCACCCCAGGCUCCCCGAUGAAGUACGCCAUGAGGGGAGCUUUGGGGUCCACUUCCUUCUUCUUAAAGGAAUUUAAGAUGUUACGGAGGAGGGUGUGCCUGCGUACAUUUAACCGAAACUGAGGUACAUCGUCGUCUACUUGAGCAGUCCUCCAGCUGUCCAGGCACUCUAUCACUCUUACAUGAUGAAGAUGGUGAAGAUGUUGGUGAUGUCGUGACCAAGAACAAAGUAGUUUUAUGCACCUGGAGGGUCCAGAACAGGUGAAACCCUGCACUGGAGUUUCGAGAAUAUAUUUAAUUACACCUUGAGGUAAUUAAAUUUUUGUUCCUUGAGAUUGCCUUGGUAAAAAAGCUGUGUAUUGAAGAUUUAUUUCUCCGAUUCAUUCUGACCGAACACAGGGUUAAUUGUGGCAGGGCGAGGCCACGUGCAAGUACUUGCUGAAUGUUUGUCGGUCAGCAUCAUUUCGAUAUGUCGCAGUUGCAACAGUCUUUCUGAUGACUCGUGUGCUUAUUUUCCCUUUCAAGCCCAGCUUGGUCCAGGUCUUCUGGAGCACAACGCUGGGCUUGUCGGUCCUCUUUCCAGCUUGGAGGAAGUAUGGCGCUGUGUCACCUUCUCCAUCUUCUCGGAUCUGUUCUAGGUACGUCCUGAAGUAUGCCCACUCCUCUGCGUUAACUAUCAAGUUCUGACAGCCACAUCAAGAACAUGAAAUCUCCCAUGAUAAUAGAAAAUACGAAUGAUUUGAAUCACCAUUUUAUGCCUUUUAAAAUGACUUUUACAAAAUAUUUUCAAGGAUGCUAAUGGCUUUCCAUAACUUUUAAGUCCAACUAAGAGAUAAGUUCGACUUAGGAUCUUUGUGAAACACCUCCCAGAGUGUGCUUUACGGUACACGUAUUUUUUCCAAUGAGCAAAUUUCAGAGUACGCAUUGGAAUGUAAACAUUGAAAGAGAAGACGAGACCCAUUUUAUUGCCAUUGCUUUUGAAUCAGACUUUAUAGUUUCGCAUUUGAUAAAAAUACUCCUUGGUAUAUAGCAACUCUAUGUUGAACGUAAUUAUACAGUGCGUCCC